GACGAACGCUGGCGGCGUGCUUAACACAUGCAAGUCGAACGGUAAGGCCCUGCUUUUGUGGGGUGCUCGAGUGGCGAGCGGGAGAGUAACACGUGAGUAACCUGCCCUUGCCCUUGGGAUAACUUCAGGAAACUGGGGCUAAUACCGGAUAGGAGCUCCUGCUGCAUGGUGGGGGUUGGAAAGUUUCGGCGGUUGGGUCUGGACGCGCGGCGUAUCAGCUUGUUGGUGGGGUUGUGGGUGUCCAAGGCUUUGACGGGUAGCCGGCCUGAGAGGGUGACCGGCCACAUCGGGACUGAGAUACGGCCCAGACGCGUAGAGGAGGCAGCAGUGGGGAAAAGUGCACAAUGGGCGGGAGCCUGAUGCGGCAGAGCCGCGUGGGGGGUGACGGCCUUCGGGUUGUAAACCGCUUUCGCCUGGGACGAAGCGGGGGUGACGGUAAUUGGUAAAGAAGCACCGGCUAACUACGUG
rnacentral:rRNA from 1 species